rnacentral:rRNA from 1 species
AGAAUCAACGCUGGCGGCGUGCCUAACACAUGCAAGUCGCACGAGAAAAGGGAGCAAUCCCUGAGUAAAGUGGCGCACGGGUGAGUAACACGUGACUAACCUACCCUCGAGUGGGGAAUAACCUAGAGAAAUCUGGGCUAAUACCGCAUAACACUUACGAGUCAAAGCAGCAAUGCGCGUUGGGGAGGGGGUCGCGGCAGAUUAGCUAGUUGGCGGGUAAUGGCCCACCAAGGCGAUGAUCUGUA